rnacentral:rRNA from 1 species
ACGAACGCUGGCGGCGCGCCUAACACAUGCAAGUCGAACGAGCGAGAGAGAGCUUGCUUUCUCGAGCGAGUGGCGAACGGGUGAGUAACGCGUGAGGAACCUGCCUCAAAGAGGGGGACAACAGUUGGAAACGACUGCUAAUACCGCAUAAGCCCACGACCCGGCAUCGGGUAGAGGGAAAAGGAGCAAUCCGCUUUGAGAUGGCCUCGCGUCCGGUUAGCUAGUUGGUGAGGUAACGGCCCACCAAGGCGACGAUCGGUAGCCGGACUGAGAGGUUGAACGGCCACAUUGGGACUGAGACACGGCCCAGACUCCUACGGGAGGCAGCAGUGGGGAAUAUUGCACAAUGGGGGAAACCCUGAUGCAGCGACGCCGCGUGGAGGAAGAAGGUCUUCGGAUUGUAAACUCCUGUUGUUGAGGAAGAUAAUGACGGUACUCAACAAGGAAGUGACGGCUAACUACGUG